rnacentral:rRNA from 1 species
UACGGGGGGGGCAAGCGUUGUUCGGAAUCAUUGGGCGUAAAGGGCGCGUAGGCGGCCGUCCAAGUCGGGUGUGAAAUCCCUCGGCUCAACCGAGGAACUGCACUCGAUACUGGUCGGCUAGAGUCCGGGAGGGGAUGGUGGAAUUCCCAGUGUAGCGGUGAAAUGCGUAGAUAUCGGGAGGAACACCGGUGGCGAAGGCGGCUCUCUGGACCACAACUGACGCUGAUGCGCGAAAGCUAGGGGAGCAAACAGG